rnacentral:rRNA from 1 species
UAACAGGAUUAGAUACCCUGGUAGUCCAUGCCGUAAACGGUGGGCACUAGGUGUGGGGACUUUCAACGGUUUCCGUGCCGAAGCUAACGCAUUAAGUGCCCCGCCUGGGGAGUACGGCCGCAAGGCUAAAACUCAAAGGAAUUGACGGGGGCCCGCACAAGCGGCGGAGCAUGUUGCUUAAUUCGAGGCAACGCGAAGAACCUUACCUGGGUUUGACAUGUACCGAAAAGCCAUAGAGAUAUGGCGUCCUUCGGGGCGGUACACAGGUGGUGCAUGGCUGUCGCCAGCUCGUGUCGUGAGAUGUUGGGUUAAGUCCCGCAACGAGCGCAACCCUCGUCCUGUGUUGCCAGCAAGUUAUGUUGGGGACUCGCAGGAGACUGCCGGGGUCAACUCGGAGGAAGGUGGGGAUGACGUAA